rnacentral:rRNA from 1 species
UACGUGGGGCGCAAGCGUUAUCCGGAAUUAUUGGGCGUAAAGAGCUCGUAGGCGGUUUGUCGCGUCUGCCGUGAAAGUCCGGGGCUCAACUCCGGAUCUGCGGUGGGUACGGGCAGACUAGAGUGAUGUAGGGGAGACUGGAAUUCCUGGUGUAGCGGUGAAAUGCGCAGAUAUCAGGAGGAACACCGGUGGCGAAGGCGGGUCUCUGGGCAACAACUGACGCUGAGGAGCGAAAGCGUGGGGAGCGAACAGG